UCAAAUUUUUUAAUUACUGUUAUUAAAAUCUUGUUACUUUCUCAAAAUUAUUAAUUAAUGCCAUGUCAAAAAUUAGAGAACACCACAAUGUGGCAUCUGCAUGAUGUGACAGUAAAAAAAAGAAAAUCACCCAAAAUCAAAAUGAAAGAGGAAAUCAUACAAAUUUUUAAUAAAAGUUUUCAACACAAUUAAACUAAGAUAAAGUCAGUAUUUUAAAUUAAUUAUUAUGAAAGUUAACAAAAUUCACAUUUCUUAACAACUGUGAACAAUUACAAUCAAAUAUAAUGUCAACAUUAUAUAUUGUCUAAUGACUAAUUGUUUUUUUUUCUUUCAAUCACUUGUUAAUUUGUUUUAUUUAUGUCUAAUUUUUAAUUCAUUUGCACAUUCAGUAUAUCCCUUCUUUUAAUUAAACAUUAACUAUCUUGUGCAGAAGUUAUUGAUAGCAUAAUCAUGGUCUCCCAUGAUGAGUAUUAAUUGUAGACUGUUGGUAACAUACUGUAUAUGCCAUAAACAUUAAUUUUGUAACUGGUCAGAGUGAGUGGUUGGUCAAGUGCAACUAAUUACUUUCUCCCUGCUGUUUACAUAAUAGCCCAGUGUCAAACUCACCUAUCUAAUAUAAAGGAAAGUGUGAGAUAAGUGGGGUUUACAACAUGUAAUCUAAUAUCCUGAACCAAUCUGGUAUCAGGAUCUGAUCUCAGAAAAUUCAAAUAUUACUCAGAGGAAGUUCAUUUGGACCUCAGUGCUUAUAACAUUAGGAGUAGAGUUAAACAUGUGACUUAAGUGCCAUUUAGAUGAAACAACUUAAUAAAUGUGAACUUUAAUAAAAUUAUAAUGGGACAUUAAAUGAGUUCUUCAGUCAGAUGGAAAUGUUCAAUGGAAUAAUGGAAAACUUACAAUGCCCACAGGUACCAUAGAAAGUUUCAAAUUAUAAUGAUGAUGAAGAAGAAGAAAAUUGAGUUGAUAACAGAAAUAAUUGAUGUGUGUACACCAGGCUUUAAAUGAUAUGGAUAGUUGUGUGCCACAGUGAAGCCAUUCUGAAAGACUGAAUCUGUAAAGGACAUGAUUUAUCAUAUUACAACAUGGAUACUUAUUUGGAAAAAAACAAACAGUUAUCUUAAAUAAAUAUUUUGUUUUAUAUUUUCUCAGCUUGGUAGACAUUUAUUAUUUUUUGUAUUUGUGCAAUAGAAUAAUGUUUGUUAAGAUCUCUAAUGGAAAUCUAGAAAUAUUAGUUGAAAUGAAUAAAUUAAUUUUAUUA